UACAGAGACUGCAAGCGUUAUUCGGAUUCACUGGGCGUAAAGGGUGCGCAGGUGGCCAGGUGUGUGAGGCGUGAAAGCCCGGGGCUUAACCCCGGAAUUGCACCUCAAACUACUUGGCUAGAGCAUUGGAGAGGGGAGCAGAAUUCAUGGUGUAGCAGUGAAAUGCGUAGAGAUCGGGAGGAACACCAGAGGCGAAGGCGGCGACCUGGACAGGUACUGACACUCAACUACGAAAGCGCGGGGAGCAAACAGG
rnacentral:rRNA from 1 species